rnacentral:rRNA from 1 species
CCAAUAGCGUAUAUUAAAGUUGCUGCAGUUAAAAAGCUCGUAGUUGAAUUUCGGGACCAAUAUGUCGGUCGUGCCUCGGUACGUACUGGCAUUUUUGGUUUCUCCCUUCUGAAGAACCUUGAUGUCAUUAAUUUUGUGUCUUGGGGAAUCAGGACUGUUACUUUGAAAAAAUUAGAGUGUUUAAAGCAGGCUUGCGCUUGAAUACAUUAGCAUGGAAUAAUGAAAUAGGACGUUUGAUUCUAUUUUGUUGGUUUCUAGGAUCGACGUAAUGAUUAAUAGGGAUAGUUGGGGGCAUUAGUAUUCAAUUGUCAGAGGUGAAAUUCUUGGAUUUAUUGAAGACUAACUACUGCGAAAGCAUUUGCCAAGGAUGUUUUCAUUAAUCAAGAACGAAAGUUAGGGGAUCGAAGACGAUCAGAUACCGUCGUAGUCUUAACCAUAAACUAUGCCGACUAGGGAUCGGAUGAUGUUAAUUUUUUAAUGACUCAUUCGGCGCCUUACG